CCAUGAAGUGCCCGCCGAACGCCACUGGGCCCUGGUCGGUCCUAAAAGAGAACAGAGGGAAGGAGCGCGCUGAGACGCGCGGCGGACAGGCGGACAGGGGCCCGAGGAGGCUUGUUGAGAAAGUCACCAGUCACAGGUGUGUACAUGUGACACCGGCACCUUGAACUCUCUGGAGCACUGGAAACUCCUGCAGAUACACCAGAAAUACAUCUACACGUGGAACAACUCCUACAGGACACCUACUGAACACUGGGAGAAGACCUCAGACCUCCCAAAAGGCAAGAACCCCCCACACACACACGUAUCUGGGUAGGGCAAAAGAAAAAAGAAUAAACAGAGACGAAAGAAUAGGGACGGGACCCGCACCAGUGGGAGGGAGCUGUGAAGGAGGAAAGUUUUCCACACACUAGGAAGCCCCUUCGCGGGCGGAGACUGCGCGUGGCGGAAAGGGGAAGCGUCGGGGCCGCGUAGGAGAGCACAGCCACAGGGGUGCAGAGGGCAAAGCGGGGAGAUUCCCGCACAGAGGAUCGGUGCCGACCUGCACUCACCAGCCCGAGAGGCUUGUCUGCUCACCCGCCGGGGCGGGCGGGGCUGGGAGCUGAGGCUUGGGCUUCGGUCGGAGCGCAGGGAGAGGACUGGGGUUGGCGGCGUGAACACAGCCUGCAGGGAGUUAGUGCGCCACGGCUAGCCGGGAGGAAGUCAGGGGGAAAAAGUCUGGACCUGCCGAAGAGGCAAGAGACUUUUUCUUACCUCUUUGUUUCCUGGUGUGCGAGGGGAGGGGAUGAAGAGCGCUGCUUAAAGGAGCUCCAGAGAAGGGCGCGAGCCGAAGCUAAAAGCGCGAACCCCACAAACAGGCAUGAGACGCUAAGGCUCCUGCUGCCACCACCAAGAAGCCUGUGUGCGAGCACAGGUCACUAUCCACACCGACCCUCCCAGGAGCCUGUGCAGCCCGCCACUGCCAGGGUCCCGGGAUCCAGGGACAACUUCCCACUGAGAACGCACAGCACGCCUCAGGCUGCUGCAACGUCAUGUCGGCCUCUGCCGCCGCAGGCUCGCCCUGCAUCCGUGCCCCUCCCUCCCCCCAGCCUGAGUGAGCCAGAGCCCCCGAAUCAGCGGCUCCUUUAACCCCGUCCUGUCUGAGCGAAGAACGGACACCCUCAGGCGACCUACACGCAGAGGCGGGGCCAAAUCCAAAGCUGAACUCCGGGAGCUGUGCAAACAAAGAAGAGAAAGGGAAAUCUCUCCCAGCAGCCUCAGGAGCAGCGGAUUAAAUCUCCACAAUCAACUUGGCAUACCUUGCAUCUGUGGAAUACAUGAAUAGACAGCGAAUCAUCCCAAAUUGAGGAGGUGGACUUUGGGAGCAACGAUAUUUUCUUUUUUUUCCCCCCCUUUUUCUCCUUUUGUGAGUGUGCAUGUGUCUAUGUGUGAUUUUUCUCUGUAUAGCUUUUCUUUCACCAUUUGUCAGGGUUCUGUCUGUCCGUUUUUUAAAUUUUUCUUUUUUUUACUAUAGUUUUUAGUGCUUGUUAUCAUUGGUAGAUUUGUUUUUUGGUUCGGUUGCUCUCUUCUUUCUUUCUUUUUUUUUAAAUUAGUUUAAAAAUUUGUUUAAAAUUAUUUUAAUAACUAUUUAUUUAUUUAUUUAUUUUUCUUUCUUUCUUUCUUUCUCCCUUAUAUCCUGAGCCAUGUGGAUGACAGGAUCUUGGUGCUCUGGCCAGGCAUCAGGCCUGUGCCUCUGAGGUGGGAGAGCCACGUUCAGGACAUUGGUCCACCAGAGACCUCCCAGAUCCAGGAAUAUCCUUCCUAUGUUGCUGUGUUGGGCACGUCUUCAAAACGCUGCUCAAGAAUCACCUCAUUCAAGAACCUGUCCAUUGAUAAGCUUGAUACUUACUUAACAUUGAUAAACUUGGUUACUCGUGUUCAAGUUCAUUUAGAUUCGAAUGAAACAGCCACACUGCUGCCUUUGAAGCCCAGAUUAACUCAGUUUGCUGUGAGGCCAUGAUGAAGUUUAUCUGAUAUCAAGGAUUUGGCAAUGGAGGCAGUAAAAGGAGCGAAGCCUGCCGCCACGUCCUGUUCGCUGUCUGCUGCACACGGUGGGGUGUCAUUCCAGGACCUUGCUUCAGACAGAGAACAUGUCACCUCAUCUUAGAACAGGCUUUAGUCCGUAUCCUCAGGAGGAGUAAGGAUACUGGUGCAUGCAAAGAUGACCAAGGAGCUGAACCGUGAAGCCUAAGAGAGACUGUGGCCCUUGUGUCACCUCGUUCUCAGCAACAGCUGCUGCAUCUUGUUUCCUCAGGCUUCGGCUCAGAGGAGAUAAUGACACUCGGGGAAGAGGAUUCCCAGCUUUGCAGAGACAAGGGCAGCAAUGCUGGAGAACCUCAGGCUCCCUCUAUGCCUGGAAUAGCCGUGGGGGCCGGAAAUGAUUCCCAGGGAUCCUGGACUCUCAGAAGACACCUGUCAGUGUGUCCCAGAAAAUAUACAGCCACAGAGACAAAAGGAUGAAAAUUUUAAAGACGGAGAUAUUGACAAAGUGAGACAAGGGUGGAAACGAAAGUAUUGCAGAUUUCCAAAGAAGACUUAAAACUGGGAAAUACCUGUCAGCCACCUAUGUUAAAUACGUGUGGACCAUAAAGACUUAUCAGGAAAGGGGUUCUAUCCGCCAAGUUGAGAUGCAUACCAGAAUGUCCUCAAAGUUUCUCAAAUAAACUGGGCAAAAGUUUCAAGGAGACAUGCAAAAGGAAAAUUUGAAUACAAUAAAUGUAAAUACCAAGUGUAAAGGAACAUUUCCCAAUAGUUAAAUGAGUCCGAAAGUGGGAACGGGCUGCCCUAAACCCAGAAGUUGGUCCUCUCGUGGGACUCUAGACAGCUCUCUGAUGGAGACAAGGGAGAACGUGCUCAGGUUCCCUCACCAGCAACACUGUCCAGUAUCCUUGCCUCUGACAAUCUCAGUGUCAGAAAAUGUCACUGGAUAAUAUUGCAGAUGCUCAAGGCGGGAGACUUGAUGCCUAAGCCUCUCCGUCACCCCUUCCUGAUCCCCAAGUUGAAGGCAUGCAUCCGUCUCAUUGCCUGUUAGCUCUGUCAGUCUUCAGCUGUCAUGGAGGAAAGUCAGCUCCACCUAGAGCCUUGGUCUCUCAGGUGACAGUUUCUUUUUGGCCUUCACUUGUUACAUGGAUUAGUAAGAUGUCUGCAAAGGACAAAGCGUGCUAAACCAGCAGCACUAUGUGUAAAGAAAUCUUAGGAAGCUACACAGAAAGUAUGUACAACCUUAAAAUUGGCACAUGGUCCUCCAUGAGCUCACCUCAAUGUCCGAUUCAGCUGCAGAUCACGGACUUAAUACGAAUUCCAGCUGUUCUGCAAGCAAGCCCUGACAAUCAUCUAAGACUUAGACUGCUGGAAAAAUUUAUAAUCUUCUAUCUUCAUAAAUUUCUGAAUCAUACACAGUACCCAUUUUUCUGUUAUUUUAGGGGUUAUACUUAGUUAAGCAGACAUGGUUACUCAACGUAAUAGAUCAGAAUCUUUUCUGAGGUUUUGAAUGAAUUGGGAAACACUCAAGGAAGAAAUUUCAGAAGACUUAAAUCAUUUAAAGAAGCAUACAGAGCAAUGCCAUAAAAGGUCAUCGAACAGAGAGCAACUAGACCACCGGGGACUAAUUCUCUGAGGGUGGAAACCGUAAUGACUCAUUCAGACCAAAAGGGGUUCCAGAGUCUGAUGUCCACAAUACCCACUCAGAGCUCGAAUGCAACCCGGUCCUUGGGGAAGCCAAGGGAGGAAGAAAGAAAAGCUCUGAGACUGAGGGAGUGAGGGAAACUGAGGACUGAACUACUCAUAAACUGACCACCAAACCCAGACACAUCAAAACCUGUGAUCAGACGGCAUCAGAAAACUGCCAUUUGUGAACUGCAUCCUUUUCCAUGGUUUUAACAUUUUCAUUUUCCUUAGUUCUAUGUAGAAAUGUCAUGAUAAUAAAUAUCAUGUGGUAUCACUUA